rnacentral:tRNA from 1 species
GCCUUCGUAGUGUAAUGGUCAGCAUGCUCGACGCGUAACCGAGAGGUCCGUGGUUCGAUUCCCGGUGAAGGCG